UACGGGGGGGUAAGGCGUUGUUCGGAAUUAUCUGGGCGUAAAGGGCUCGUAGGCGGCCUAACUAAGUCAGACGUGAAAUCCCCUCAGCUUAACUGGGGAACUGCGUCUGAUACUGGAUGGCUUGGAUUCGGGAGAGGAAUGCGGAAUUCCAGGUGUAGCGGUGAAAUGCGUAGAUAUCGGGAGGAACACCUGUGGCGAAAGCGGCGCACUGGACCAUAACUGACGCUGAGGCGCGAAAGCGUAGGGGAGCAAACAGG
rnacentral:rRNA from 1 species